rnacentral:rRNA from 1 species
UACGAAGGGGGCUAGCGUUGUUCGGAAUUACUGGGCGUAAAGCGCACGUAGGCGGAUAUUUAAGUCAGGGGUGAAAUCCCAGAGCUCAACUCUGGAACUGCCUUUUGAUACUGGGUAUCUCGAGUAUGGAAGAGGUGAGUGGAAUUCCGAGUGUAGAGGUGAAAUUCGUAGAUAUUCGGAGGAACACCAGUGGCGAAGGCGGCUCACUGGUCCAUUACUGACGCUGAGGAGCGAAAGCCAGGGGGAGCAAAACGGGG